ensembl:snRNA U6 U6 spliceosomal RNA
UUGCUUUGGCAGCACAUAUGCUAAACUUGGAAUAAUACAGAGAAGAUUAGCAUGGCCCCUGCACAAGGAUGACACGCAAAUUUGUAAAGCAUUCCAUGUUAAA